AUUAACGCGAAGAACCUUACCUGGGUUUGACAUACACCAGACGCUGGUAGAGAUACCAGUUCCCUUGUGGUUGGUGUACAGGUGGUGCAUGGCUGUCGUCAGCUCGUGUCGUGAGAUGUUGGGUUAAGUCCCGCAACGAGCGCAACCCUCGUUCUAUGUUGCCAGCACGUCAUGGUGGGAACUCAUGGAAUACUGCCGGGGUCAACUCGGAGGAAGGUGGGGAUGACGUCAAGUCAUCAUGCCCCUUAUGUCCAGGGCUUCACACAUGCUACAAUGGCCAGUACAGAGGGCUGCGAGACCGUGAGGUGGAGCGAAUCCCUUAAAGCUGGUCUCAGUUCGGAUCGGGGUCUGCAACUCAACCCCGUGAAGUCGGAGUCGCUAGUAAUCGCAGAUCAGCAAUGCUGCGGUGAAUACGUUCCCGGGUCUUGUACACACGCAAU
rnacentral:rRNA from 1 species